UAUUGAAGCGGUUCUCGCGAAUCGUUUCCUGAUAAAAGGAUUGCCUCAUGGCUCUCGACGUUCAAGAAAAAGCUCAAAUCGUAGCUGACUACCAGCAAGCUGUU
rfam:Pseudomonas sp. MF4836 contig003, whole genome shotgun sequence.